CCUGGGAGUGGCAGGCAGGGCGAUGUGGCGGGAAUGGCGGCGGCGCAACACCAAGAGCAUCAGCUUCACCAACGCCACCUUCCGGAAAGGGCCCAUGGACCCCCUGGAUGGGGGGGGGCUCGGGGACCCCCUGCGGCCGCUGACGUCAGAGGACGAUGAGCCCUGAGGAUUUGGGGGAGCCAAGACCCCCGACCCCCCCCCCGGAGCCCCCCUGGAGUUGGGGGGGGGGGGCAGCUGCAGGACUGAGAGCAGGGUUGGGGGCGGCCACACCUGGGAGCAGUUGUGUGCACGUGGAAACACCUGGGCAGACAUCUGGAUACACCUGGGCACAGCGUGGAAUGGCUGUGCACGCUCGGACGUGGCUGUAGAUACACCUGGGAACACCUGUCAACACUCAGGCACACCUGGACGUGGGCUGUGCACACCCGGACAUGAGUGCAGACACACCUGCACACCUGUGCACUGCUGUCCGUGCUUGUUCACGGCUGUCCAGGUGCCCCAAGUGACCCGUGGGGCAGUUUGGGGCUUUUUUUAAACCAAAAUACUGUGAACUUCGCCCAGAUUGAGGCCCUGGGAAUUGGGCGGGGCCGAGGGGACCCGACCCGUCCCCCAUCAAUAAAGUUUUAUUUAUUGAUCGA